rnacentral:tRNA from 1 species
GGGUCCGUAGCUCAGCUAGGAUAGAGCGCCGGCCUUCGGAGCCGGUGGUCCGGGGUUCAAAUCCCGGGGUUCGCC